rnacentral:rRNA from 1 species
CGAGGGGAGUGAAAAAGAACCUGAAACCGUGUACGUACAAGCAGUGGGAGCACAGAGCAAUCUGUGUGACUGCGUACCUUUUGUAUAAUGGGUCAGCGACUUAUAUUCUGUAGCAAGGUUAACCGAAUAGGGGAGCCGAAGGGAAACCGAGUCUUAACUGGGCGUUAAGUUGCAGGGUAUAGACCCGAAACCCGGUGAUCUAGCCAUGGGCAGGUUGAAGGUUGGGUAACACUAACUGGAGGACCGAACCGACUAAUGUUGAAAAAUUAGCGGAUGACUUGUGGCUGGGGGUGAAAGGCCAAUCAAACCGGGAGAUAGCUGGUUCUCCCCGAAAGCUAUUUAGGUAGCGCCUCGUGAAUUCAUCUCCGGGGGUAGAGCACUGUUUCGGCAAGGGGGUCAUCCCGACUUACCAACCCGAUGCAAACUGCGAAUACCGGAGAAUGUUAUCACGGGAGACACACGGCGGGUGCUAACGUCCGUCGUGAAGAGGGAAACAACCCAGACCGCCAGCUAAGGUCCCAAAGUCAUGGUUAAGUGGGAAACGAUGUGGGAAGGCCCAGACAGCCAGGAUGUUGGCUUAGAAGCAGCCAUCAUUUAAAGAAAGCGUAAUAGCUCACUGGUCGAGUCGGCCUGCGCGGAAGAUGUAACGGGGCUAAACCAUGCACCGAAGCUGCGGCAGCGACACUGUGUGUUGUUGGGUAGGGGAGCGUUCUGUAAGCCUGUGAAGGUGUGCUGUGAGGCAUGCUGGAGGUAUCAGAAGUGCGAAUGCUGACAUAAGUAACGAUAAAGCGGGUGAAAAGCCCGCUCGCCGGAAGACCAAGGGUUCCUGUCCAACGUUAAUCGGGGCAGGGUGAGUCGACCCCUAAGGCGAGGCCGAAAGGCGUAGUCGAUGGGAAACAGGUUAAUAUUCCUGUACUUGGUGUUACUGCGAAGGGGGGACGGAGAAGGCUAUGUUGGCCGGGCGACGGUUGUCCCGGUUUAAGCGUGUAGGCUGGUUUUCCAGGCAAAUCCGGAAAAUCAAGGCUGAGGCGUGAUGACGAGGCACUACGGUGCUGAAGCAACAAAUGCCCUGCUUCCAGGAAAAGCCUCUAAGCAUCAGGUAACAUCAAAUCGUACCCCAAACCGACACAGGUGGUCAGGUAGAGAAUACCAAGGCGCUUGAGAGAACUCGGGUGAAGGAACUAGGCAAAAUGGUGCCGUAACUUCGGGAGAAGGCACGCUGAUAUGUAGGUGAAGUCCCUCGCGGAUGGAGCUGAAAUCAGUCGAAGAUACCAGCUGGCUGCAACUGUUUAUUAAAAACACAGCACUGUGCAAACACGAAAGUGGACGUAUACGGUGUGACGCCUGCCCGGUGCCGGAAGGUUAAUUGAUGGGGUCAGCGCAAGCGAAGCUCUUGAUCGAAGCCCCGGUAAACGGCGGCCGUAACUAUAACGGUCCUAAGGUAGCGAAAUUCCUUGUCGGGUAAGUUCCGACCUGCACGAAUGGCGUAAUGAUGGCCAGGCUGUCUCCACCCGAGACUCAGUGAAAUUGAACUCGCUGUGAAGAUGCAGUGUACCCGCGGCAAGACGGAAAGACCCCGUGAACCUUUACUAUAGCUUGACACUGAACAUUGAGCCUUGAUGUGUAGGAUAGGUGGGAGGCUUUGAAGUGUGGACGCCAGUCUGCAUGGAGCCGACCUUGAAAUACCACCCUUUAAUGUUUGAUGUUCUAACGUGGACCCGUGAUCCGGGUUGCGGACAGUGUCUGGUGGGUAGUUUGACUGGGGCGGUCUCCUCCUAAAGAGUAACGGAGGAGCACGAAGGUUGGCUAAUCCUGGUCGGACAUCAGGAGGUUAGUGCAAUGGCAUAAGCCAGCUUGACUGCGAGCGUGACGGCGCGAGCAGGUGCGAAAGCAGGUCAUAGUGAUCCGGUGGUUCUGAAUGGAAGGGCCAUCGCUCAACGGAUAAAAGGUACUCCGGGGAUAACAGGCUGAUACCGCCCAAGAGUUCAUAUCGACGGCGGUGUUUGGCACCUCGAUGUCGGCUCAUCACAUCCUGGGGCUGAAGUAGGUCCCAAGGGUAUGGCUGUUCGCCAUUUAAAGUGGUACGCGAGCUGGGUUUAGAACGUCGUGAGACAGUUCGGUCCCUAUCUGCCGUGGGCGCUGGAGAACUGAGGGGGGCUGCUCCUAGUACGAGAGGACCGGAGUGGACGCAUCACUGGUGUUCGGGUUGUCAUGCCAAUGGCACUGCCCGGUAGCUAAAUGCGGAAGAGAUAAGUGCUGAAAGCAUCUAAGCACGAAACUUGCCCCGAGAUGAGUUCUCCCUGACCCUUUAAGGGUCCUGAAGGAACGUUGAAGACGACGACGUUGAUAGGCCGGGUGUGUAAGCGCAGCGAUGCGUUGAGCUAACCGGUACUAAUGAACCGUGAGGCUUAACCUUACAACGCCGAAGGUGUUU